ACGGGAGGCAGCAGUGGGGAAUAUUGGACAAUGGGGGAAACCCUGAUCCAGCGACGCCGCGUGAGUGAAGAAGUAUUUCGGUAUGUAAAGCUCUAUCAGCAGGGAAGAUAAUGACGGUACCUGACUAAGAAGCCCCGGCUAACUACGUGCCAGCAGCCGCGGUAAUACGUAGGGGGCAAGCGUUAUCCGGAUUUACUGGGUGUAAAGGGAGCGUAGACGGAAGGCCAAGUCUGAUGUGAAAACCCAGGGCUCAACCCUGGGACUGCAUUGGAAACUGGUCAUCUAGAGUGCAGGAGGGGUAAGCGGAAUUCCUAGUGUAGCGGUGAAAUGCGUAGAUAUUAGGAGGAACACCGGUGGCGAAGGCGGCUUACUGGACUGUAACUGACGUUGAGGCUCAAAAGCGUGGGGAGCAAACAGGAUUAGAUACCCUGGUA
rnacentral:rRNA from 1 species